CUGGCCCCUGGGAUUUGCUGCUCAGAACCUGAGUUCACUGAGACAUCAGGAGCAAGCACUGGAGGCCGGGUGCUGCUGGACCCAGAUGGGAGCCAUGCAGGACUUGACCAUGGCCUGCACACACUUCUUCCCAGGAGAAGGGGAAUGAGGAAGAACUAGAUCCUAAGAGCAGAAGACAAUCAUAUGUCCUGAGAACCCAUUGGAGGUUGAACAGCGCUGGGUGGAUGGAGAAAGGCAGAAAUGCAGAAUUUCGUCAUUGCCUGGAUGCUGACUUUAUCCAAAGAGAAGAUGCAUGAGGAGUGUACAUGCCUCAGAACUGGAUGCUGAGACAUGCCCCCGCGAUCCCAAGACCACCAGGUACCGUGAGCAAUCACUGGAGCUGGAACACUGCUGCCUGAGGAAGAGAAGAAGUGCAGGCUUGUCAUUGUCUAUGCUGUUACUUGUGGUUCCCGGGUCUUCAGAGAGGAUGCACAAGAACGGGAGAACCGGCCCCUGGGAUUUGCUGCUCAGGACCCGAGUUCAGUGAGACAUCAGGAGCAAGCACUGGAGGCCGGUGCUGCUGGACCCAGAUGGGAGCCAUGCAGGACUUGACCAUGGCCUGCACACACUUCUUCCCAGGAGAAGGGGAAUGAGGAAGAACUGGACCAGAAGAUUUAACUUCCAUACCACAAGCACUGGGGUAGAAGACUGCUGCUGGGUGAAGAAGAGACUAGACUUGAUCAUUGAGCAGCCACUCACUGAUAUCUUCAGUGCUGCAUGAGGAAGCAGAGUUUAUUCUUCUGGAUUUGGUGGUGGAUUCUGGUGAAGAUACAGAUGGAUGCUCUGGCUGAGUCGCUACCUUGAAAUGAAAAUGGGAGGUAAACUCUCCCAUAGAUGAAUCUUCUUCAUUUUGAAGGACUGGCCCCUGGGAUUUUCUGCUCAGGACCCGAGUUCACUGAGACAUCAGGAGCAAGCACUGGAGGCCGGUGCUGCUGGACCCAGAUGGGCGCCAUGCAGGACUUGACCAUGGCCUGCACACACUUCUUCCCAGGAGAAGGGGAAUGAGGAAAGUGGGGGGCCUCAAAGCUUCCUUUCCUUUCUGUUUGUCUUGCUAUGUUUUUAUAUUCCUUUUUAUCCAUUUAAUUAUUUAGUACAAAAUCAGGUCCAGUCUCCUUAGAUAUGGCAUUGAUAUAAAGUGUAAAAUGGAAGCUAAAUUCUAGGAGUACAGCAUUGCAUGCUUCUGACAGAGACAAGGAAGGCUAGAAUCACACAGUUAGUGGACACUGCAACUAUAUUGACAUUUUUUUUUUUUUAGACUGUGAAGGUGGGGACAGAUUGCUGCACUCAGAACACCUUCCCUGCUCUGGGGAAACAAACACUGUCAUCAUGGGGAAAAUGUUUCCUGUAGACCCACACAAGCACACACCCCUCCUCCUACAUCCAGCUUCUCCUCAGCCAUUUUGAAGCAGGGAAGAUCAGGGGGAUUCAUGAAUGGCGAAAUUUGGCCUUUUUUAGUGUAUUUCUCUCCUUCUGUAGGCAGACUGGCAUCACCUGACCCUUCAGAGUAUUAACUCAGACCCUGGUGACUGAGGUCCAGUACCAAGUGCUCAGCUGGGCUGCGGUGCAGGGACAGGAAGCAGAAGGGCAGAUUCAACCCCCCUCAGCUGGCCAUGCUAAUCUACUAGCUGGUGUCCUAGGGCAGCAAGGCGCCUCCCUCUCCAGGAUCUGAUGAGAAAACACUGCAGUUCCAGUUUCUUUCGGGGCUUGAAGAGAAGUCAAGGAAGCCCUGCAAGGCACUCACAGCUGAUCAUGCUUUCUGUAAUCGCCCUCCAUCUUCCUUCAUUGCUAGGAAUCAUUGGAAGGACAACAGCGGAGCUGUGAGUUUUGAAACCGCGUCCUCAUGGGGGCAGUAGAGGUCCACACAAGAGCUUAACUGGCCCCUGGGAUUUGCUGCUCAGAACCUGAGUUCACUGAGACAUCAGGAGCAAGUACUGGAGGCCGGUGCUGCUGGACCCAGAUGGGAGCCAUGCGGGACUUGACCAUGGCCUGCACACACUUCUUCCCAGGAGAAGGGGAGUGAGGAAGAACCGGCCCCUGGGAUUUGCUGCUCAGGACCCGAGUUCACUGAGACAUCAGGAGCAAGCACUGGAGGCCGGGUGCUGCUGGACCCAGAUGGGAGCCAUGCAGGACUUGACCAUGGCCUGCACACACUUCUUCCCAGGAGAAGGGGAAUGAGGAAGAAAGGCUCAUGGCGUCUAUGUCGUAAAUGAGCUGUGGAUUUGCUAUGCCCCUUCUCUUCAGCAACCCUUAUUUUUCUUGCCUGUACAUCUCUACUGUGGGAAUCACAGGGAAGCUGCUGCAGCACAACUUGAAAUAGAAAGCUGGAUGGUAUGAAUUUAGGACAAGAACAUGAGAAGAAGGGCUCCAGAGAGGAUUCAUUAAGAGCAUUUUCUGCUCUUCCAGAAGCAUCCGAGUUUGGUGUGGGCACCCAAGUCAUUAGGCUCAGAGCUGCUUGGCACCAGGAGAUGUCAGGAAGCUGGUAUAAAUCCUCAUGGGACUUGAAGGGCGAGUGGCCUGAAGUGGGUCACAAGUGAUCAGGGAUUCUCAAACUGCUGUUCCCAGCUUGCAUUUAAAAAUGGGAAAUAACUCAAAAGACAAUUGCAAACUCUCUGCAGUCAAGAUGGCUCCUGCUUGUAAUCUCAGUGUUCAGAAGGUCUGGAUCCCCUAGGGUUGCCACCAGGAUCACCAGAAAGUUUGUUAAAUAGAGAAGCACUUGAUAGAAGGCACCUGGAUAAGGAUGGACAGAAAUCAGAGGCCUUGGCUAUCUGGAUUCUGACUUCUUCAAAAAGAUGAGAUGAUAGAUGAGAAAAGCCCGUCCGUGGUGUUAGAGACUUUGGCCCCACACCCAUGCCGUGCAGCUCUGCCAGGGCCUACCUGCUUGACUCAACCCUUUUUGUUCCCUCACCCUCUCUGGGUAACUGAGAGAUUUAUACCUUGGCUAUCCUGGGAAUGUCUUUCUAAAC
rnacentral:lncRNA from 1 species